CGUGUGGUUCUAUUUUGUUGGUUAUGGGACCGCCGUAAUGAUUAAUAGGGACAGUCGGGGGCAUCAGUAUUCAAUUGUCAGAGGUGAAAUUCUUGGAUUUAUUGAAGACUAACUACUGCGAAAGCAUUUGCCAAGGAUGUUUUCAUUAAUCAGGAACGAAAGUUAGGGGAUCGAAGACGAUCAGAUACCGUCGUAGUCUUAACCAUAAACUAUGCCGACUAGGGAUCGGGCGAUGUUACUUUUUGACUCGCUCGGCACCUUACGAGAAAUCAAAGUUUGUGGGUUCCUGGGGGAGUAUGGUGGCAACGCUGAAACUUAAAGAAAUUGACGGAAGGGCACCACCAGGGGUGGAGCCUGCGGCUUAAUUUGACUCAACACGGGGAAACUCACCAGGUCCAGACACAAUGAGGAUUGACAGAUUGGGAGCUCUUUCUUGAUUUUGUGGGUGGUGGUGCAUGGCCGUUCUUAGUUGGUGGAGUGAUUUGUCUGCUUAAUUGCGAUAACGAGCGAGACCUUAACCUGCUAAAUAGCCCGUGUUGCUUCUGCAGCACGCCGGCUUCUUAGAGGGACUAUCGGCUCAAGCCGAUGGAAGUUUGAGGCAAUAACAGGUCUGUGAUGCCCUUAGAUGUUCUGGGCCGCACGCGCGCGACACUGACAGGGCCAGCGAGUUCUCCCUUGUCCGAAAGGACCGGGUAAUCUUGUUAAACCCUGUCGUGC
rnacentral:rRNA from 1 species